rnacentral:rRNA from 1 species
AGAGUUUGAUCAUGGCUCAGAAUCAACGCUGGCGGCGUGCCUAACACAUGCAAGUCGAACGCGAAAGUCCCGCAAGGGAUUAGUAGAGUGGCAAACGGGUGAGUAACACGUGGGUGACCUGCCUUCGAGUGGGGGAUAACGUCCCGAAAGGGACGCUAAUACCGCAUAACAUCCUGCCUUUGAAGAGGUGGAGAUCAAAGCCGGGGACCGCAAGGCCUGGCGUUCGAAGAGGGGCCCGCGCCUGAUUAGCUAGUUGGUGAGGUAACGGCCCACCAAGGCUUCGAUCAGUAUCCGGCCUGAGAGGGCGGACGGACACACUGGGACUGAGACACGGCCCAGACUCCUACGGGAGGCAGCAGUGGGGAAUUGUUCGCAAUGGGCGCAAGCCUGACGACGCAACGCCGCGUGGAGGAUGAAGACCUUCGGGUCGUAAACUCCUUUCGAUCGAGACGAAUGGUCUCUGGGUGAACAAUCCGGAGAAGUGACGGUACCGAGAGAAGAAGCCCCGGCUAACUCCGUGCCAGCAGCCGCGGUAAUACGGGGGGGGCAAGCGUUGUUCGGAAUUACUGGGCGUAAAGGGCUCGUAGGCGGCCAACUAAGUCAGACGUGAAAUCCCUCGGCUUAACCGGGGAACUGCGUCUGAUACUGGAUGGCUUGAGAUUGGGAGAGGGAUGCGGAAUUCCAGGUGUAGCGGUGAAAUGCGUAGAUAUCUGGAGGAACACCGGUGGCGAAGGCGACAUCCUGGACCAACACUGACGCUGAGGAGCGAAAGCCAGGGGAGCAAACGGGAUUAGAUACCCCCGUAGUCC